GCAAUAACAGCCAAACUGGAUGGAAAAAAACCAUUUCAUUUCUCACGUUUGGUUAAAUAAGAACAACAACAACUUGCGUAAACUAACAUGUUUUCAUUGUACACUUUAAAUUAACGCAAGAGUGUUACAUCUACAAAAAACAACAACACUGUAUAUGUGACAAUAAAUUGGAAUAAACUGACGAUACUGUACAGAACAAAUUACAAUUAGUGUUAAUUUAACGUCUCAUCUUCAUCCGUUAUUCGUGUUUUGCUGUUUCAGUGUUUGUAAGCAGGAAGUGUUUUUCAUAUUUGGAUUUAUUUAUGGAUGUUUAUAUUUAUUGUGCUGGAAUUAAUGGGACCUGAGAAGAUGGACCACUGCUUGGAUUGAGAAAAAGUGUUCAGCAGGUUGAGAUUAGAUGCAGUUGAUGAUGUUAAUUGGUCAGAUUCAGUCCAGGCAUGGUUGUAACUGUCAGAAGAUGCACUGCAAGUGGAAAUUUCCAGUGGUGAAGAUAGAGCUGGCUCACACGAUGCUCCCUUAUAAGAGAGGGCGUUGCUGAUGGUUCGUUUCUCCUCAUCCUGGGGUUUGACAUAUGAUGUGAGGCUUUGGACAUUUCUGUGUCCUGUCACUGACAUGAUGGCUGCAUUUGAGAAACCCUGGCCAUGAAGAUGUGUCGAGACAAAAGCUCGGAUGCAAUGACCCUUUAUGAUGCCAGUCAAGACCUGGUUAGAUGACAUAAAAACCCUGUCUUUCAUCAAUGAGAUUGGACGAGAAAAGGGCUCACUGGUCAGUUACCUGUUGAUUCCUGCCCGUAUGGAUACCAAAGCAGACUUCGAGUAUUCAGCGCCCCUCUUACUUUGAAGAGAUGCAUAGAACUGUUCAAGAAUUUUAUUUAGCUCACUGUCAGUCAAAGUCUCAAAUUCAACUGUUUUUAUUUGGUUCUCUAGCAUCCAUUCUAAAAAAAGAAUAAUGUAUUGAAAUUCAUUCAUUGUUCUCUGUUUGUUAGGUUUUAUGUAAAAAGCAUCUGAACCAUUUUAUGCAAGGAUGGAUUUUAAACCAUGAAACAAAAUACUAAUAUUUGAUUUGAUCACCUGUUUGAAUAAAGACUUAUUUUAGUUAGAUCUAAUUGUAAUCCAUAAACAUUAAGUUGUUCAUUCAAAGUGAGUAUGCACGAAUAUUGUCAAAUAUUUAUGAAUAAAUAUAUAUAAAAUAUGUUAAAAUACAUAUAUUUCAAAAUAAAUUAAAAUAAAAGUUCAGAAGAACAUGUGUCGAAAAAUGCAAAACAAGCCAGUUAUUUAAUUCUGAAAUCGAAAAUGUCUAAACAGUCGAAUUCGCCAGCAUGUACAUGUAUAUUAUGCGUGUACGAUGUGAAUCUAAAUUUAGUUUUACGGAUCAUUUAAAUUUCCUGGAACGAUACCUAUUCAUACGACACACUUACACUAACUCUGAUCCUAAUAAAAAGACGAAUGCUUCGGUUAUUGUAGGAAAACAUGUACGAAAUAUCUUCAUCACAAUCGGCUCGGGGCGAUAAUUUGUCUUUGCUGCAUUUUAUGAAAUUCAUCUUUAAUGUAUAAUUUUUCUUGCCUAUUUUGUCUUAUUGUAACAUAUUUUUAUGAAUAUAUUACAAUUUGACACAUAUAAAAAUCAUGCAAACUCACUUUAAACCUCAAUCCGCUUAGAAUGGGAUAAGAUGAAAAUUGUUCGCUUAAUAAAUGAUGAAAAUAAUGUUUGUUUAAGCCAAAUAAAUAAUCAUUUUUUAACAAGAAAAACACAUUUUGAAUGGUUAUUACUGGUAUAAAAUAGUUCACAGCCAUUUCACAGUUCAUAUAUCAAUCAUCUACAUGUUUUCAAUUGUUUUAUAACCAAUUUUAGAUUUUAUUGAGACAAAAUAUGCAUGCAAUUGCCUGAAUGGCCUUGUUUUCACAACAUUAUUGUUGCAAAUGUGUUAAAUAAAUUUAGCUUCAAUCCACUAUCGUAAAACAUCUAACAAGUGCAGAAAAAUUAUGCCAUUUUGUUUACUGUAUGAAUGCAACAUAAAAUGCAUGUACUUUUUUUUUAAUUUUUACAAAUUGGAUUAUUAUGGUGUGAUUGAUUGUUUGAUGAAAAGAAUACUGGUUCUAGCAUUUAUGUUAAGAGAAAAAUAAUUUUUCUCCUAAUGAACAUCAUUAUUGCUUGACAAGGCUCAUUAAUUGUUGCUAUGUUAGCUUUGGAAGUUUAACUGUUUUAUGUAAUGUUAACAAAGUAUUGUAAUGUUAUUAUUAGCUCGGCUGUUUUCGAAGAAAUCCCAAGGUAUUGUCAUAGCCACUGCCCAGCUCGUCAUGCGCCGUCCGAAAACUUUAACAUUUGCCAUUUCUUUUGCAAUAUUGAAGAGAGCAACUUGAUAUUUGGCAUGCAUGUGAAUCCCAUGGAGCUGCACGUUUUGAGUGGUGAAAGGUCAAGGUCAUCCUUCAAGGUCAAAGGUCAAAAAAACAAAACUGCACCCACAGCCGAGCGUUGGCACCCGCUAUGCUAUGCUCUUGUUUAAUAAUGUUGUUAAGAUGUUAUAAUUUACUUAACAAUGUUUUUUUGACCAUAAUCAUAAAAAUAAGAACACAGA